rnacentral:rRNA from 1 species
AUUGAACGCUGGCGGCAGGCUUAACACAUGCAAGUCGAGCGGGGGAAGGUAGCUUGCUACCGGACCUAGCGGCGGACGGGUGAGUAAUGCUUAGGAAUCUGCCUAUUAGUGGGGGACAACAUCUCGAAAGGGAUGCUAAUACCGCAUACGUCCUACGGGAUAAAGCAGGGGAUCUUCGGACCUUGCGCUAAUAGAUGAGCCUAAGUCGGAUUAGCUAGUUGGUGGGGUAAAGGCCUACCAAGGCGACGAUCUGUAGCGGGUCUGAGAGGAUGAUCCGCCACACUGGGACUGAGACACGGCCCACACUCCUACGGGAGGCAGCAGUGGGGAAUAUUGGACAAUGGGGGGAACCCUGAUCCAGCCAUGCCGCGUGUGUGAAGAAGGCCUUAUGGUUGUAAAGCACUUUAAGCGAGGAGGAGGCUACUCUAGUUAAUACCUAGGGAUAGUGGACGUUACUCGCAGAAUAAGCACCGGCUAACUCUGUGCCAGCCGCCGCGGUAA